CUAGUGUAUUGUGGGGGCGAUGCCCCGAAAGACAACUGGCAGAUGGGGGCUCCCGCGAGUUGCCGCGCUAUUUCUCGCCUCGGCAUCUCUCAUGAUGCUCCCCUUGCUCCGUCGUCGCUUUACGGCUUUCACGGGCUCACCAAUGUGCCGAGAGCAGCGGUGGAGCCCCACAGGAAUCCGUAGAUGAUGAAGCACAAAAAAC
ensembl:ncRNA ZK617.11 ncRNA